rnacentral:rRNA from 1 species
GACGAACGCUGGCGGCGUGCCUAACACAUGCAAGUCGAACGGGGCAGCAAUGCCCAGUGGCGAACGGGUGCGUAACACGUGAGGAACUUGUCCAUCGGCGGGGGAUAGCCGGCCCAACGGCCGGGUAAUACCGCGUACGUCGGCGAGACCGCAUGGUCUUGCCGGGAAAGCAGCAAUGCACCGAUGGAGAGCCUCGCGGCCUAUCAGCUAGUUGGUGAGGUAACGGCUCACCAAGGCGACGACGGGUAGCUGGUCUGAGAGGAUGAUCAGCCACAUUGGGACUGAGACACGGCCCAGACUCCUACGGGAGGCAGCAGUGGGGAAUAUUGCGCAAUGGGCGAAAGCCUGACGCAGCGACGCCGCGUGUGGGAUGACGGCCU